rnacentral:rRNA from 1 species
UACCAGACUCCUACGGGAGGCAGCAGUGGGGAAUAUUGCACAAUGGGGGAAACCCUGAUGCAGCAACGCCGCGUGGGUGAAGGAGCGUUUCGGCGCGUAAAGCCCUGUCAGCGGGGAAGAAGAAAGACGGUACCCGACCAAGAAGCCCCGGCUAACUACGUGCCAGCAGCCGCGGUAAUACGUAGGUGGCAAGCGUUAUCCGGAUUUACUGGGUGUAAAGGGCGUGUAGGCGGGAAAGCAAGUCAGAUGUGAAAACCAUGGGCUCAACCUGUGGCCUGCAUUUGAAACUGUUUUUCUUGAGUACUGGAGAGGCAGACGGAAUUCCUAGUGUAGCGGUGAAAUGCGUAGAUAUUAGGAGGAACACCAGUGGCGAAGGCGACUUUCUGGACUGUACCUGACGCUGAGGCGCGAAAGCGUGGGUAGCGAACGGGAUUAGAUACCCCAGUA